rnacentral:lncRNA from 1 species
GGCAAUCCAAUCUUCAAGGGAGUCUUGACUACUACAUUAAAUUUUAAGUCAAUUUAAGGUGGGUUUGGAUAGGCGAUUCAGUGCGGUGUGGUGCGUUUAGCUUACUUUUUCUCUCACGCUACAGUAUCUAAUCUCACCGCCACCGCUAUUUUUACACUAACCGCGGCUAAACGCACCGCCCAUCCAAACUCAUCCUUAGAGUGUAUCAAAG